AUGGCAACGGAUGAGUUCACGAUAAGGUUUGAGGUGUUGUUGCGGUUCUUGGAGUCAACAUAUGUGACAUUCAAGAAAAGGGCGUACGAGAGAGCCAACGUCAUUCUACUCACUAUGGUGGCGAACAAUGGAGUGCUUCAUUGUUUAACAAACUCCUACCAAAGGGUGAAGUGCUGUAAGGCCAAGGAAGUGUGGAGGGAGAACAAGGAUGGUGGAGAGGUGCAAUGCAAUGGCCUGGUAGGAGAAAAAGGGAAAGAUGAAGAUGGGGCUAUGGACAUUCCACUUUAUACAUACUCCCUUUGAGCUAAUAAUA
rnacentral:lncRNA from 1 species